rnacentral:ncRNA from 1 species
UGAUAGCAAAGAAGCGCGAGGUUGCUGCUCAGCUAAAAGAUAAGCAGAGCAGGUUUUCCGUGGAGCGAAUGUCAAGUUAGGAAACUGGCGACAA